CUUGUAACCGUCAGUUUGGAUAUCCUGUGUAGGCCUUGUGACAUCUAUGUUUAGAAUUGCCAGUUUGUGGCUGUUGACACAUAUCACCAGUUUCAAUCACGAGAUGAGUUGUAACUUAAGCAAUAGGUAACGGUAACUUUUUGGUCACUGCAGCAACGCCCGAAAGGGAGGGUCCGCCCAGUAACAGUAUACUGACCAAUUGUAAUGAGACAUGUAUAUGUAUUUCCUUUGUUGUGAACACCCUAUAAAAGAGAAAACUUACGUCAUAAAGAGCAAAAUGGUUUAACCUCAUAUCGUGUCAGUCUUGUUACUGCAGAAGGGCUAAAUUCAUUCUCACCGGUACCGAAGGGGCCAUCGUAACUAAGGAAAACACCCACCCUUUUAUACCAGGAGAUGUAGUGGUAGUAAAACACCUGAUGAAGGAUAAGAAGGCCAAGGAUUUCGCCUAUGGUCCAGAAACAAGUAUUGUGGCCGUGACCCGUACCGCCAUGUUGACUGAAGGAAGCCCAACUUGGAUCCAUGCCACCAGAGUGAAAUUGGUCCCCAGAGCAAGACUGAAAGCAGAACUAGUCGAUGCAGAGGACCAAAACGAAGGGGAAAGCCCAAUCCUCCAACAAGGGGUACUAAUGGGAGCAAAUGACUCCGACCUCCCACAAAUUGGAUCUGAGGUAAUAACGAGGGCUGAUAGCCUAGGCCUCCGACAAUAUGACAUCACUUAUUUCACCACAGACUUCUGGGAAAACCUUGUGCCUCCUAUUUUGGACUGUCCUAAUCGUAUUCCUGCCAGUUUGGCUGAUAACUAACUGUAUCCAUCACCCUGAAGAUUUGGGACAUAUAAAGAGCAUUUGUGGAAAUUCUAACACUCCACAACAGGACAAUGCCAAUAACACACAUGAUAGACACAAGAGAAAUGAGAACUCUGAGGGUUUUACAGACAAAAUGCUAUUAUUAAAGUUUAAAUAUGCCUAUGCCCAGAAAUCUGGAUAUGAAAAAUGUUGGAUAUGUAGUAAGCUCCAUCCUAGCACUACUAGGAUCCCUAUAAUGGGUAUGGUUCCUUCAUGGAGUGGGUGGGGAAUAGACUUAAUGAAAAGGUUGAAUAAAUAUGUGGGAAUUAUUGAUGAAAUAAUGGAGAAGAACUCCGAUGAUAUUACUAAACUAAACAUAGAAACUAGAGCAAUUAGGAAGCAAUUAGAAUUACAUGAGUUAGCCAUAGAAAGCAUGAGUGCCACCUUAACUGGAUUAUUGUGAAAAUACAAUUAGUACUACAAUGACAAUUAGAAUUGAGGAAGAUCACCCCAGGGAAGAGAUAGAGUGUUAUCAGAUUGUCAGAUUAUCAGAUUCGUAUGAUGCCAAGACGGGUGAUAUGAAUGAGUAAAAGAUAUGUAUCCACAUACACCUUAAGAAGAUCUUUGCUCCACAUAGAUGUGAAGUAGUACUGUGGACCCUUUGGUGUCAUACUAGGUAGAGAAUCUUUUUGCAAACUUAAGUUUUUGAGCAGGAAUGCUGACAUGGUUAAAAAGUGCUGCCCUGGCCAUCUUUAUGAUUAUUAUUUUUGUUUUACUCGUAUAUGCUUGUUAUAGGCUCAUAAUGUGCAUAGUUGUUAAAAUGUCCCGAACACCCGACCCAGCAGCUGCAAAUAGAAUCUAUCUGAAUAUGUAUCAUGAUAAAAGAAGGGUGGAGAAAGAGAACCACAUCAUUUAAAAAUUAUUUGUGUUCUAAGAGGGGAUUGAAGAGAUGUUAAAGGGUUAACACAUUGAUUGAGAUGGUACUGUGUAAGUCUUGUAACCGUCAGUUUGGAUAUCCUGUGUAGGCCUUGUGACAUCUAUGUUUAGAAUUGCCAGUUUGUGGCUGUUGACACAUAUCACCAGUUUCAAUCACGAGAUGAGUUGUAACUUAAGCAAUAGGUAACGGUAACUUUUUGGUCACUGCAGCAACGCCCGAAAGGGAGGGUCCCCCCAGUAACAGUAUACUGACCAAUUGUAAUGAGACAUGUAUAUGUAUUUCCUUUGUUGUGAACACCCUAUAAAAGAGAAAACUUACGUCAUAAAGAGCAGAAUGGUUUAACCUCAUAUCGUGUCAGUCUUGUUACUGCAGAAGGGCUAAAUUCAUUCUCACCGGUACCGAAGGGGCCAUCGUAACUAAGG